AGCGAACGCUGGCGGCAGGCCUAACACAUGCAAGUCGAACGAACUCUUCGGAGUUAGUGGCGGAUGGGUGAGUAACACGUGGGAACGUGCCCUUUGGUACGGAAUAACUCAGGGAAACUUGAGCUAAUACCGUAUGUGCCCUUCGGGGGAAAGAUUUAUCGCCAUUGGAGCGGCCCGCGUCUGAUUAGCUAGUUGGUGAGGUAACGGCUCACCAAGGCGACGAUCAGUAGCUGGUCUGAGAGGAUGACCAGCCACAUUGGGACUGAGACACGGCCCAAACUCCUACGGGAGGCAGCAGUGGGGAAUCUUGCGCAAUGGGCGAAAGCCUGACGCAGCCAUGCCGCGUGGAUGAUGAAGGUCUUAGGAUUGUAAAAUCCUUUCACCGGUGAAGAUAAUGACUGUAGCCGGAGAAGAAGCCCCGGCUAACUUCGUGCCAGCCGCCGCAGUAAUAC
rnacentral:rRNA from 1 species